rnacentral:tRNA from 1 species
GGAGGUGUAGAUGAGGUACGCCGGGUGCUCCAGGCGGCCCGGGCGGCCGGGUUCGAAACCGGGCGUCUCCGC